rnacentral:rRNA from 1 species
AUUGAACGCUGGCGGCAUGCCUUACACAUGCAAGUCGAACGGCAGCACGGGAGCAAUCCUGGUGGCGAGUGGCGAACGGGUGAGUAAUAUAUCGGAACGUGCCCAGUCUGGGGGAUAACGUAGCGAAAGCUACGCUAAUACCGCAUACGAUCUAUGGAUGAAAGCGGGGGAUCGCAAGACCUCGCGCGAUUGGAGCGGCCGAUAUCAGAUUAGGUAGUUGGUGAGGUAAAGGGCUCACCAAGCCGACGAUCUGUAGCUGGUCUGAGAGGACGACCAGCCACACUGGGACUGAGACACGGCCCAGACUCCUACGGAGGC